rnacentral:rRNA from 1 species
GACGAACGCUGGCGGCGUGCUUAACACAUGCAAGUCGAACGAAGUGGCGAACGGGUGAGUAACGCGUAAUCAACCUGCCCUUCAGAGGGGGACAACAGUUGGAAACGACUGCUAAUACCGCAUACUGAAGGAGGGGAUUGCGUCUGCUUAGCUAGUUGGAGGGGUAACGGCCCACCAAGGCGAUGAUCAGUAGCCGGUCUGGGAGGGUGAACGGGCAAAUUGGGACUGAGACACGGCCCAGACUCCUUCGGGGGGGAGCAGUGGGGAAUCUUCCGCAAUGGACGAAAGUCUGACGGAGCAACGCCGCGGGAGUGAUGACAGCCUUCGGGGUGUAAAGCUCUGUUAAUCGGGACGCGGUACCGGAAUAGAAAGCAACGGCUAACUACGUGCCAGCAGCCGCGGUAAUAC